rnacentral:misc_RNA from 1 species
AUUGAAAGGGUGUCAGAAGUCUUGAAAAGAGGAAAUGCCAUUGCAGAAAAAUCUCUUGCAAUUCUUGAAAAUUGUCGACCCCAUUAUUAUAAAGAAUAAGAGUUAUUUAUAGAGUUGGAAUUAAUAGGGGUCCAUCUAGAUUUCGUGAUGACAGCUUAUUAUUACCUUUCAAAAAAUCCAUUAGCAACAAGGUCAUUUUUUGGUAUUCCACGAGCAAGGCAAUUGGAAUGGUUGAUGAGGGUUGUGAAUGACAAGUGAUCUAAA